UACCGAUACCGCUGUUUGUGGUAUCGCUGGUAUCGAAUACCGAGUACUCGGUAUCGCCCAUCACUAAUUCACACCGCCAUUACGCCAUAUUUUUCAAGCCUUCAUUCUGAAUUUAUGGGUUCGAAAAAUUCGCUUUUUUUAAGCGACGAGGAAUGAUUUGAACGAAGAGGAAACAGCGAGCAUGACUGAAUAACAUUCAGGUAAGCAUAUUGUUAUGUUAUAUGUAUAAUGGAGCAGCUUUGAAAGUAAAUAUUCGUUAUCUUCAUUCAUGAAUUUUGAGCAUGUGUUCAUGUUUAAAAUUUGAAUUUGCCGCGACAAUAUUUGAAUUAAAAAGAUGAUAUAUUAGUUUUAUAGAAGGCUUACAUUUGACUUUAUAUUAAAUUAUGUUUAUUGUAUAAAGGGCAACUAAUAUUUGUGUAUAUGAAUAUAUGACAGACUACCAGAUAUUAAACAAUGUUUCUGGUAUAAAGUAUAAAUAUAGCUUGGCAUCUACUCAAUCAUCAUAUGCUCAACUACACAUGUCCCAGCUAAACAUGGUUUGAGAAAAUGUAACCACUUGUUUCAAAUCAACUGCUACUUUCAUAAGUUCCUAAUUUUUAUAUAUCUAGGUUUUUUAUGUCCAAAUUCUUCAAUCAAUGAAAAAAUCUAUUUCACUGUUAGAGGUGUUAUGCACCAGUCAAUGAAAACCUAUACAACUCAGCCCCCCGCCCCACCCCCCCGAAUAUAAGCCCAGUAGCCCACUAUGUUAUUCAACAUUGACAUUGUCUUUUAAUUAACCCAUUAAGCUGUGGAGCUGCCCCAUUGACAAGUAAAAUUGUCUGGCAUAAGACAAGUAAAAAAAUAAGUAAGGCACACUGGGGCGCAUUGCGGCUUGAUGGGUUUACCAGACAUAAUUUGUCAAAUUUUUUGGUCAACCCAUUAAGCUGCAGAGUUUCCCCAUUGACGAGCAAAAUCGUUUGGCGUUAGACAAGUGAAAAAAAAGUAGAGCGCACUGGGGCGCGUUGUGGCUCAAUGGGUUAAUAUAUCAGAGAACAAUAUUUAAAAACAUUGUCUUUAUAGCUUAAGUCAACAACAAAACGUCGUUAAUUAAUCAAAGUGCAUUAUUACUAUGUGUUUAUUUUCCUGUUUAUGACUGACUUGUUUAUUAUACUAACACAAAAGAUUGAAUGUCCAUGUAUAAGCUCUAUCCCUCCUAUAUACUGUAACCCCCCCCCCCCUUUGUAUAAGCCCACCAAAUAUAUAGCCCAGGGUUUAUAGUCCGAGAUUUACGGUAUUCCAUGAACCCAUUAAGAUGUGAUGUUGUGAUGGAUUAACAGACUGUGUGUGCAUGUCUCAGUUACCAUUAGCACUUACAUACCCUAAUUUAACCCAUUAAGCUGCAGAGCUUCCCCGCGUUUUCCCCGUUUCCUAGGAUAGAGGCCUCAUCACGAUUUAUGAAUAAGGUCUAUAGUACUCUGAUUUUCCAUUUAACAUACGAGCCUCUAGUCCUGGGAUAGGGUACAUUUUGAUUUACGUUGGACAAAGCUACAGUGCUGUCGGACACCAAUACAUGUCGGACAAACAAUAAACCUCAAUUUCACUUUGGUCGGACAGAAUGUCUGGUGGUUUCCUCUCUACGUUGGACAAUUUCACUAAUGGGUCGGACAAUGUCCAUGACCGACCGAUAUUUUAAGGCCUGCAUAGCCGGAUUAACCCUAACCCGUAGUUAAAAUUUAUGUAUUUCUACAUACAGUAUCUUUUUGUUUUAAAAUUAUGAAAAGAAAACUCCUAUGGUACUGAUCCAGACAAGAUGUCUAAAGAAAUAUUUCCAAAUUUAUAAACAAACUGUUAGGAAGUUUGCUUAAUCUAAGGUUAACUUAUCGGCUUUCGAACAAUCAACCCCUGCAUGGUGAUUUUGUUUGUCAAUGGGGAGUGUGUUGGACUUAAAAGGUUUUAACCUUUCAUUGAAACUAGAUUGUCUGCCCGCAUUUUGUGUUAACACAUUAUUAAGAUAAAAGCCAGACUGCUUUCAGUACUUCAUGAUUUUACUAUGUCUAACAUCAGAGGGUCACAUUUCAUAUUUAACCCUUUUAGAUGCAAAGGACAUUUUAGUCAUCCAGAGGGGGAGGGAGUCUAAGAGUAGAAUCUUCUGAGACUGAUAAUAGUAAGAUGUACUAAGACAUCAAUGGAAUGGGGUGGGGGGUUAAAUUCCAAGUUUCUUUGUAUGUCAUGCUUGAAGUUUUCAAGGAUGGAUAGAUCGGCUUAGAUAAAAAUGUCAAUUUGAUGUUUUGUGUGGCAACUUGAAUAUGGACAUCUCCCUAAUUGGAAACAGUUAAAGUCCUUAGUUUGUUUGUUUGUUCAAACUCAUGAAUACAUUUAGCUAGCUACACCACCCACAUGAUCUGCUUAGUAAUAUAUGUAACAACCCAAUUCACUCCAAUUAACCCAGUUUUCAGCACUUUCUUAAAUUAUGUCACCUUUCCUAAUGCCAGACAAGUUAAUUUGUGUGUAGCUAGAUUUUGCCCAUGUUUCAUGUUGACAUAUUUAGAUGCAAUUUUCCCUAACACUCCCUACUUUAAGUACUUUAAUAUUGAACUGUGACGUCUCAUGCUAGACAAUUUUACUUAUCGACUGCAUGGACUCAUUUCACCUAUUAACACCGAAGAAACAAUUUCCUCUUAAAUGUUGCCUACUUUCGGUUCUUUCUAGGGGUGUGCAGGACAGAGUAUUUCUGCUAUCCAGCCAGAUACAGGAUAUGCUGGAUGGCUGAAAAAUAUCCAGCCCGAUUAAGGGUAUUAUUCAAAUAAUUAUAUAAGGUUCAGGCAUCAUUUAAGGUUAAGUACUGGUAAUAAUUUUAUUUGGUUAAAAAGUAAACAGUCUAAAACUAGUAAACCUGCAUCAUUGGUAGCAAACAUGCAUCAUUGGUAGCAAAAGCCUCGUUUACAUCAGUUAAAAGUUCAAAUCCCCAUUUACUGUACAAACAAGCAUUGAAAAUACUGAUCAUAUUUAUCAUAUUUUUACUUCAAUGAUCAUGAUAUGAUAACCUUAUCAAAUCAUUUUCUAACCUGAAAAGAAGGCCUGAACCCUAUAUAAAUAAUAUCCGACAUUGGGUAGCCGGAUGCCAGAUAAUGAAUUAAAAUCUUAAUAUCCGGCCAGAUACAGUAUCAGUCCAUUGCAUCCUAUGUCUUGAAAUGCCAAACAAAUUAACUUGUUAAAUGACUGUACGAACUGUUACAUGAAGUACAUUGCUUGCGGGCGCAGGAGAAAAGGGCGCGAAAACAUUGUGACGAGUUUUAUCUUUUAUCGAGUUUGGUAUUAUCACUGUGUUAUAUAUUUGUAUUGUUGAUUAUAAAGGAAAAAUACCUCACAAUAACUUGUAAGUAAUCCUGUUUCUAGGAUCGUUAAGUAUCUUUACACACACUAAUUUUUUAGUAAACUAACUAACAAUGUAACAUAUUUCUAGCGAAUCUAGUGCUGACUAGUGCAGUCGUCAGUGCUGAAUAAAAGUAUUGUGAAAAGACAAAUUUACGAGAAUUGAAGUUUACAAUGACUGUAUAUUGAUAUUCAAUAUACUUAGCUAAUAUUAGCCUCCUGCGCAGACGUUGUUAGUGGCCGAGGCCUCACCUAACGUCUGCUCACAUUCGCUAUACAUUUGACUUCCCGGCAAUUAACCAAUCACAAUCAUCUACACGAUAAUUGGAAGAUCGGCCUUCAAUGACCUUCACACGCAUGGGCUAUAUCAACAAGUCUGUAGUAUUUUUAAAUUUGAAAAUUUUAACACUGCGCAUUAGAAAAAGGCUUUUCAGUCUAUUAUAAACGAAAAGGAUGUUGUCGUAAAUCUUACAACUGACGCAGGAAAUCCCUUAUUUAUCACGCCGUUACCGAAGCUAUUCGAUGUAAUAUUCGGAUUUAAAUAUUUAAACAAAUUGUAAACAUUGUAAACAUUUAGUAAUCGUGGUUUCGGUUGAUAAAUUCAAUACGAGAUCAAGUCAAAAAACUACACGAUCUAGGAGUCAGUGCUGUGUCAUUAUUAAGUUGAAUCGAGAGCGAUAAAGAAGCGAAGGCAUUGGAAGAAUGGAAAUAUUCUGACUGUAUUAUAUGCAGAGUCAUUGUUGAAGACCGAACGAUGGAAACGAAUGCUUCAACAAAUUGUACGUAUAGCAAAAUGGUUUGUGCUUUGGCUGUUGAUGCAUGAAGCUCAUGCGAUUAAAGAAUGGUAUGUAUUAUAAUAAAUCCUAAAAAUGUGUUCGCUUUUGUAAUUCCCAAAGACACAUGCAGGAAUCGAUCGGGCUUGGCCAUUUUAAUAGUCAUUAUUCAUUAAUAUUUUAUAUUGUUUAUUUAAAUUGAAUUUGUCUUUUUAUACAUUGCCUCGUAUUAUCUAUUUGCAUGUAGUACUAGCAUGCAAGUUUAUAUGAGGGCAAUUAUGAAGGGUUUACAUCAGAGGGUUGGGGCAUGUAUGAUGUAUAUUAACUAGAAUGGCUCAUAAACUUGCUGGUGCUACGUGCAAUAGAUAAUACGAGGCAACGUAUAAAUCAAGACAAUAUAAAAUAACGACUAUUAAAAUGGUCAAAGCCGAUCGAUUGCUGUGGCUUUGAGAAUUGCAAAUGCAAACACAUGUUUAGGAUUUAUUAUAAUACAUACUGAAAUGAGCUUCAUGCAUCAAUAGCCAAAGCACAAACCGUUCUGCCAUACACUUUGUCUUUGUCUUCAUCAAUGACUCUGCUGUGCCAUAUAAUACAGUCAGAAUAUUUCCCAUCUUCCAAUGUCUUCGCUUCUUUAUCGCUCUCGAUUAAACUUAAUAAUGACACAGCACCGACUCCUAGAUCGUGUCAUUUUUUUACUUGAUUACGAUCGUAUUGAAUUUAUCAAUGACGAUUACUAAAUGUUUACAAUGUUUACAAUUUGUUUAAAUAUUUAAAUCCGAAUAUUACAUCGAAUAGCUUCGGUAACGGCGUGAUAAAUAAGUGAUUUCCUGCGUCAGUUGUGAGAUUUACGAAAACAUCCUUCUUUUCGUUUAUAAUAAACUGAAAAGUCUUUUUCUGAUGCGCAGUGUUAAAACUUCCAAAUUUAAAAAUAGUACAGACUUGUUGAUAAUAGCACAAGAGUGAUAAUAACCCAUGCGUGUGAAGGUCAUUGAAGGCCGAUCUUCCAAUUAUCGUGUAGAUGAUUGUGAUUGGUUAAUUGCCGGGAAGUCAAAUGUAUAGCGAAUGUGAGCAGACGUUAGGUGAGGCCUCGGCCACUAACAACGUCUGCGCAGGAGGCUAAGCUAAUAUAUGCACCCUUUUAUUGUUAACCCUUUGAGCAGCAAUGUGCCCAAGUGCACCCUACUUUGUUAUGUUGCACUUAACUAACACCAGACAUUUUACUUUGUGAAAUGCCAGACAAUUUUACUCCUCAAGAGCAGUGUCCUGCUCACUAGUGGUUAUCCAAACUAUCUGCCAAUGUGCCUUGAUAAGCCAUUAGGUCGAAAUGGACCCGCCUUUGUUAUUUUACUCUGUCAAAUGCCGGACAAUUUUAGUCAUCAAGAAGAGAGUCCUGCGUGCUAGUGGGUUAAAUGACUUAAUUACAUAUGUUAUAUAUAAACUUAAGCUGUUAGAUUGUCCCAUUGUAUAUUAAUUUUUACUUAUCUUGACACAGGCUUGUAUGUUGGAUUGAUACGACUACCUCUAAAUAUGGUUAAACUUGGCUAUGUGAUUCAAAGGUUGUGGUUCACCGAGCGAUAAAGAAAAUGAUACAAAGAUGGAAUGAUUGGAUGCAAGUUAUUUACAGUGUUUCAUAUGACAGGUAUUCUGAUUGUGGAAGAUGUGGGCUUGCAAUAUUUUGACAAUUGCAUGGCUAUAAAGUACGAGACAAUUAAUAUAGUAUACUCCAUUACUCUAAUUGCCAGAACACUGCAUCAGAAUGGGAAGUUGUCUGUUACAGUUCGGUUUAGUAAAAGUACAUAGUAAAAGUACAUAGUCAACUAUGUAAAAUGUAAUUUAGUCAGUGUCAAAUAAAUAUUUUGUCAUGGAUAAACUCAAAUGAGCAUGUCUCUAAUGUCAUUUUACUUUUAAUAAGAAUAUGUAGAUGUGUUUUCU